rnacentral:rRNA from 1 species
UACGGAGGGUGCAAGCGUUAUCCGGAUUCACUGGGUUUAAAGGGUGCGUAGGUGGGUUGAUAAGUCAGUGGUGAAAUCCCCGAGCUUAACUUGGGAACUGCCAUUGAUACUAUUGAUCUUGAAUACCGUGGAGGUCAGCGGAAUAUGUCAUGUAGCGGUGAAAUGUGUUGAUAUUGGAAGGAACGCCGGUGGCGAAAGCGGCACACUGGGUCUUUACUGACGCUGAGACACGAAAGCCAGGGUAGCGAACGGG